GCUACACAUGCAGUCGAGCGGUAACAGAAGUAGCUUGCUACUUUGCUGACGAGCGGCGGACGGGUGAGUAAUGCUUGGGAACAUGCCUUGAGGUGGGGGACAACAGUUGGAAACGACUGCUAAUACCGCAUAAUGUCUACGGACCAAAGGGGGCUUCGGCUCUCGCCUUUAGAUUGGCCCAAGUGGGAUUAGCUAGUUGGUGAGGUAAUGGCUCACCNAGGCAACGAUCCCUAGCUGGUUUGAGAGGAUGAUCAGCCACACUGGAACUGAGACACGGUCCAGACUCCUACGGGAGGCAGCNGUGGGGAAUAUUGCACAAUGGGCGCAAGCCUGAUGCAGCCAUGCCGCGNGUGUGAAGAAGGCCUUCGGG
rnacentral:rRNA from 1 species